rnacentral:rRNA from 1 species
CCUACGGGUGGCAGCAGUGGGGAAUCUUGGACAAUGGGGGCAACCCUGAUCCAGCCAUGCCGCGUGAGCGAUGAAGGCCCUAGGGUUGUAAAGCUCUUUCAGCGGGGAAGAUAAUGACGGUACCCGCAGAAGAAGCCCCGGCUAACUCCGUGCCAGCAGCCGCGGUAAUACGGAGGGGGCUAGCGUUGUUCGGAAUUACUGGGCGUAAAGGGCGCGUAGGCGGGCGCAUAAGUCGGGGGUGAAAUCCCGGGGCUCAACCCCGGAACUGCCUCCGAUACUGUGUGCCUUGAGGACGGGAGAGGUGAGUGGAAUUCCGAGUGUAGAGGUGAAAUUCGUAGAUAUUCGGAGGAACACCGGUGGCGAAGGCGGCUCACUGGCCCGAUCCUGACGCUGAGGCGCGAAAGCGUGGGGAGCAAACAGGAUUAGAUACCCCAGUAGUC